rnacentral:rRNA from 1 species
GACGAACGCUGGCGGCAUGCCUAAUACAUGCAAGUCGAGCGGACUUGAUGAGAAGCUUGCUUCUCAGAUAGUUAGCGGCGGACGGGUGAGUAACACGUAGGCAACCUGCCCUCAAGCUUGGGACAACUACCGGAAACGGUAGCUAAUACCGAAUACUUGUUUUCUUCGCUUGAAGGAAACUGGAAAGACGGAGUAAUCUGUCACUUGGGGAUGGGCCUGCGGCGCAUUAGCUAGUUGGUGAGGUAACGGCUCACCAAGGCGACGAUGCGUAGCCGACCUGAGAGGGUGAUCGGCCACACUGGGACUGAGACACCGCCCAGACUCCUACGGGAGGCAGCAGUAGGGAAUCUUCCGCAAUGGGCGAAAGCCUGACGGAGCAAUGCCGCGUGAGUGAUGAAGGUUUUCGGAUCGUAAAGCUCUGUUGCCAGGGAAGAACGCUUGGGAGAGUAACUGCUCCCAAGGUGACGGUACCUGAGAAGAAAGCCCCGGCUAACUACGUGCCAGCCGCCGCAGUAA